ACGAGAUCCUCCUGGUGACUGGAGUUCAGACGUGUGCUCUUCCGAUCUUAGCAAUCUGCGAUAAGCCUCGGGGAGCUGAUAAGCGAGCUUUGAUCCGAGGAUGUCCGAAUGGGGAAACCCCGCUGGGAGCUUCGUGCUACCCAGUGACUCCCGCCUGAAUAUAUAGGGCGGGUAGAGGGAACGUGGGGAAGUGAAACAUCUCAGUACCCACAGGAAGAGAAAACAACAGUGAUUCCGGUAGUAGUGGCGAGCGAAACCGGAACAGGCCAAACCGAUCAUGUGUGAUAGCCGGCAGGCGUUGCAUGGUCGGGGUUGUGGGACUCUUACGGUUUUCUGCCGAAAACCACGUAGAUAGUUGUUGUAUAGACAAAUGGUCUUGAAAGGCCAGCCGCAGAGGGUGCCAGCCCCGUAGUUGAAAUGCAGCACUAAUGCGAAGAGGAUCCCAAGUAUCACGGGGCCCGAGAAAUCCCGUGUGAAUCUGCCAGGACCACCUGGUAAGCCUAAAUACUCCCAGAUGACCGAUAGCGGACAAGUACCGUGAGGGAAAGGUGAAAAGUACCCCGGGAGGGGAGUGAAAUAGAACCUGAAACCGUUUGCUUACAAUCCGUUGGAGCCUCCUUGUAGGGGUGACAGCGUGCCUUUUGAAGAAUGAGCCUGCGAGUUAGCGAUAUGUGGCGAGGUUAACCCGUGAGGGGUAGCCGUAGCGAAAGCGAGUCUGAAUAGGGCGAUUCAGUCGCAUGUCCUAGACCCGAAGCGAAGUGAUCUAUCCAUGGCCAGGUUGAAGCGACGGUAAGACGUCGUGGAGGACCGAACCCACUUGGGUUGAAAACCGAGGGGAUGAGCUGUGGAUAGGGGUGAAAGGCCAAUCAAACUUCGUGAUAGCUGGUUCUCUCCGAAAUGCAUUUAGGUGCAGCGUUGCGUGUUUCUUGCCGGAGGUAGAGCUACUGGAUGGCCGAUGGGCCCUAAAAGGUUACUGACGUCAGCCAAACUCCGAAUGCCGGUAAGUAAGAGCGCAGCAGUGAGACGGUGGGGGAUAAGCUUCAUCGUCGAGAGGGAAACAACCCAGACUACCGACUAAGGUCCCAAAGCGUGUGCUAAGUGGAAAAGGAUGUGGAGUUGCAUAGACAACCAGGAGGUUGGCUUAGAAGCAGCCACCCUUGAAAGAGUGCGUAAUAGCUCACUGGUCAAGUGAUUCCGCGCCGACAAUGUAACGGGGCUCAAGCACACCACCGAAGUCGUAGCAUUCAAACUAUAGGUAGGCCUUCGUGGUCCAGCCGUGUGAAUGGGUAGGAGAGCGUCGUGUGGCGAGCGAAGCGGCGGAGUGAUCCAGCCGUGGACGCCACACGAGUGAGAAUGCAGGCAUGAGUAGCGAAAGACGGGUGAGAAACCCGUCCUCCGGAAGACCAAGGGUUCCAGGGCCAGGCUAAUCCGCCCUGGGUAAGUCGGGACCUAAGACGAGGCCGACAGGCGUAGUCGAUGGACAACGGGUUGAUAUUCCCGUACCCGCGAAGAACCGCAAGAGCUAAACCAGUAAUGCUAAGAGUCCGAAUUCUCUUUCUGAUCCCUUCGGGGUGAGGAUUGAGAGCUAGCACUCGACCCUAUGCUGGCGCGGCUAGCGUAUUAACAGGUGUGACGCAGGAAGGUAGCUGAGCCGGGCGAUGGUUGUCCCGGUGUAAGGAUGUAGGGCGAGGAAUAGGCAAAUCCGUUCCUCACGAAGCCUGAGAUCCGACGCGUACCCCUCACGGGGGAAAUCAGUGAUCCUAUGCUGCCAAGAAAAGCAUCGACGCGAGGUUCUAGUGGCCCGUACCCCAAACCGACUCAGGUGGUCAGGUAGAGAAUACUAAGGAGAUCGAGAGAAUCGUGGUUAAGGAACUCGGCAAAAUGCCCCCGUAACUUCGGGAGAAGGGGGGCCGGAUUGGUGAAGGGAUUUACUCCUGGAGCUAUGAAGGCCGCAGAGACCAGUGGGAAGCGACUGUUUACUAAAAACACAGGUCCGUGCUAAGUCGCAAGACGAUGUAUACGGACUGACGCCUGCCCGGUGCUGGAAGGUUAAGAGGAGCGGUUAGCACUUGUGCAAAGCUGCGAAUUUAAGCCCCAGUAAACGGCGGUGGUAACUAUAACCAUCCUAAGGUAGCGAAAUUCCUUGUCGGGUAAGUUCCGACCUGCACGAAUGGCGUA
rnacentral:rRNA from 1 species